CUGCAACAGACUGGCAACCUGUCCAAGGAGAAAGGCACCAGCACCCCUCCUUACCCUAUAAGGGACAAAGGCCCCCAUUAAGUGCUUAAAAGAGGAAAUCCUCAGUCGGAGCAUCACAGGGAGCUCGCUGGCCGUUUCAGCUCUGCAGGAUGUUUGGAGAAAUUCCCUGCGCUCACAUCAACACAGGCUGUGCUUUUUAUUAAAUACAGCUGUACCACAGUAUAUCCUGCACCUCUGCCAACAAUAAUUUUUCUUCCUCUAUCUUUUUUCUUCUUCUUCUUCUUCUUCUUCAGGAUUUCUUGUUCACUCUUGUACUCUGUGGCAGCUCUCUUCACCUCGCUGACAGCAGACAGAAGCCAGAGAGGAGUCGUGAAUCCAGACUUUCAUCUCCCUUUACGUCUGUCAUGGCUGCCUUUCUGCAGCAGCAGCUGUGGAGCUCCGCGUCUCGCCGGCUUUUGUCUUCCUGUUCUUCAUCCCAUCGUUGCGAAUUUCUAGGAAGCAUCUUGGAUUGAAUGGAUCAUAUCAGAGGUGUCCAAACUUUUUGCCAGCAGGGACAAAAUCAUCGAGUUGAAAGCACUUGGAGGGCCAUGAAAAUGUAUUUUUGUGAAAUAAAAAUGUACAAAUAAAUGCAUUGUUCUUUUUUUUUCAAUUUUUAUCUGUUCAAUAAUUAACUAAACAUGCAAGGUUUUAUUGAAUUGUACCAAAUAAACACAUUUUUGUUGAAAAUGGAUCUGUAAAAGAAAAUAAUGGUCCCAAACAUAAAGGGUCCUGUAUGAUUAGUGUUAUCACAAAACAUAAAAAACAGACCUUCAGUUUGCUGUGAUUGUUUUAUUUCUGGGGCCAAAAUCCUCAUAAUAAAUUUUAAAAAAG